AUUGAACGCUGGCGGCAGGCCUAACACAUGCAAGUCGAACGGUAACAGGAAGAAGCUUGCUUCUUUGCUGACGAGUGGCGGACGGGUGAGUAAUGUCUGGGAAACUGCCUGAUGGAGGGGGAUAACUACUGGAAACGGUAGCUAAUACAGCAUAACGUCGCAAGACCAAAGAGGGGGACCUUCGGGCCUCUUGCCAUCGGAUGUGCCCAGAUGGGAUUAGCUAGUAGGUGGGGUAACGGCUCACCUAGGCGACGAUCCCUAGCUGGUCUGAGAGGAUGACCAGCCACACUGGAACUGAGACACGGUCCAGACUCCUACGGGAGGCAGCAGUGGGGAAUAUUGCACAAUGGGCGCAAGCCUGAUGCAGCCAUGCCGCGUGUAUGAAGAAGGCCUUCGGGUUGUAAAGUACUUUCAGCGGGGAGGAAGGGAGUAAAGUUAAUACCUUUGCUCAUUGACGUUACCCGCAGAAGAAGCACCGGCUAACUCCGUG
rnacentral:rRNA from 1 species